AUUCCGUUGGUCUAGCGGCUACGAUGCUCGUCUCCAAAACGAUGCGACGGAGGUUCGAGUCCUCCACGGUCUGCCA
rnacentral:tRNA from 1 species